UAAGUGAAAGCCAAAGUCUGAGGCGUCUAAUUGUUAAUUAGAGGAUUAUAAGAAUUUAUUCAUUUAG
rnacentral:tRNA from 1 species